UGCAUGGACAUUGUCUUGCAGUUGGCAGGGUGCCUAAUGCAAUCUUCGCUGGAUCAGUUUAUCCUGUCACAGGAGUCUUCUUGUGGUGAGCACGCUAUGAGCAUUUAAGUGCUUGACCCAUGCCUGCAGGUUACAGCUCUUUGUCCACGAGAGACAGAGAAGGAGGGAAAGGGCCCUGAGAGGAUUGAAAGAAAGCGGCAGAAUUGCGAUUCCCGACAGGCUCAAUUUAAGCAUAACACUUAUUUAAACGACGGCUCCGUGGAAAGCUGCACUUUUCUCUCAUUCGGUAUUUUCCAACAAAGACAUUCUUUGGGGGAAAGCUUGUCUCAAAGGCCCAUAAGGAAAAAAGCCACAACUGCUUCAGAAAGAACCUGGACCUGGAGUGGGGUUUGCUCUGCUCAGUGAUCCAGGCCAACCAAGCCUUCUGCCCUUCCUGUGACCCAGGAGGACAACUCAUAGAAAGAAGGAAAGCAUCACGUUUGGGGUUUUUACAUGAAGAGCAAGAAGAAGAGGAUACACAGCUGGAAAGAAGGGAAAGUUGGACUAAAGGUGAAGGGAA